GAAAGGAAAGGAAAAGAAAGGAAAGGAAAGGAAAGGAAAGGAAAGGAAAGGAAAGGAAAGGAAAGGAAAGGAAAGGAAGAAAAGAAGGAAGGAAGGAAAGAAGGAAGGAAGGAAAGAAGGAAGGAAGGAAAGAAGGAAGGAAGGAAGGAAGGAAGGAAGGAAGGAAGGAAGGAAGGAAGGAAGGAAGGAAGGAAACGGAAAGGAAGGAAGGCAUCAGUCUUUUUGGCAUUCAUCUCAAUGUGAGUUAAUGGUUUCUUCAGCUCCCACAACCAAAGAAAUAGGAGUUUAAAAUUAAUAAAAACAUGUACAUUUCCCCCCCAAAUCUCCCAAAGUUAAAGAAACUUACCCAUCAUUAUUUUGAUGUCAAAAUCACCUUUCCCUCCCCACAACAUUUUUCUUUGAAUAUAUACAAACUUGCUUAAUUUCUGAUUGUUCGUAUAUUUCAUUUUUUUCAGUCUUCUAAUUUUCCUCUUCUCCUCAUCCUCAGUCUGCUUUCUGAUACCUGCUUAGUGAAUGUUUGCCUUGACAUAGCAGCAUAUCCACAAUCACCCUCAGAUCCAGAUCCCUGCACCACUCCCUUUUCCAACAUGGGACAAGGAAUCCCUAAGUUGACCCCAGUCUGUCAUAGCUCCCCUCCAUCCUCCAAACCAUACUCUUUUGUAUAAAAUGAAUACGUUUGAUGCUGUACCACAGAAUGCUAAGCCACUCUCUAAUCCAAGGGCUUCCACCCUGGAUUGCUCUCCUGAAUUCAGGAAAAAUCACAGGCAUCGCACCACCUCCUCAUGACCACAGCCAUUAUAGGCAGGUAAAUGAUUUCCCAGUGCAGAGGGUUGGAAGCCAGGAAGCCCUGGCCAGAAUAGGGAAAGGGGAAAUCAGAGAAAGAUUCACAUCUCUCCACAUCAACCUUCAUCUACAACAAAGUCUAGCAACACCUAAUGGCCAGCCAUUCCACCCUGGCCACAUUUCGUUUGACCUAGAGAUGACCCAGUUGUGAUUUCCUCUUUCCUCCAUAUUUCUCACUUAUUGCAUUGUAAUUUAGCUCCCAGUCUCCCAUUGAUAAUUAUCUUCAUUCACUGUUACCUACACAAUGAGCCAGAUUUGAAAUCCAGAAAUGAAAAAGAAUGUGCAGAAAAACAGUUCCAGAACAAUCAGAUCCAUAUCACCUGGGACUGACAUGUUCCUUCUCCCUACAGAAGUUCUGUCCUCCAGUUGAAAAGACAAGGAAACCUGAGGCAUUGUGUCCACUAAAGAACUCCCUUCCUUUAGGGACUAUGGCACCAAACUACCAAUAUCCAGCCAUUGGAAAAGGCAUUUGAUUGCUUGGCUUUCCUGUACUCUGAACCCCUAAUUUGGUUUCCUUGAAAUGGAAAUGCGCUCUUUCCCAUGCACCCAAAGCAUUGAGACAAGUACUCUCUGCUCAUCCUUUUACCUGAACUUGGCGCAAUUUUUUAAUGACUGGGACCCUGGAAUUCUGAAGCCCAGUCCAAACAGGUGAAUUUCACCCACCUUCCCACUUCAUGGAUAACUUUAAUUGCAUCUAUUCAUUUCUUGUUUCUUUCUUUAUUAUCAAUUUCUUUUUAAAAACACUUGGUGGUAGCAAUUAAUUUGUAUCCCUCCCCUUCUCUCCUUCAUUCCCACUCUCUAUGUCUUGUGAUAUUUCAUUUGUUAUUGAUUGACACUCCAUAAUCCACAUUUAGGAGUCACCCACAAAAGCAAGUAUUUCCCAAAAUCACUUUUCUAAAAGAGUUUCAAGCAAUUUAUACAUAAAUUUCAGUCUUUCAAAGCCCCUCUCCAUCCUUGAAAGCAUCCUCUCUUCAUGGGACAGAAGUGAUAUAUUAUUUAAUAACACACCUUUGGAUGAUAAGGAGCCCUGGACUCUAAGAGCUGCCUGCCUCCUUUCUUAGCCUAGGCUUAGGCCAAAUCUUAGCACACUACCACAUGACAGCAUCCACAAGCCCUCUAUGGGGGGUGAAAUGUUCCCCAUUACCCAGGGGUCACGGCGAGGCUGCUCAGAUGGGCCCAAGGAAGUCCAAUGGGAUACAACAACUCUCCAUUCUCUUGUACUCCCAGCAUUGGGAACAAAUUCUUUUGAGCCAACACACCUGACCAAGAGCUGCCCAGUGGGGGCCAUUCCAUUUUGCCCACAGAUGACCCCUCCUUGAUUUCCUUUGUUCCACCACACAGCUCACUCAUUUUCUUUUCAUUUUGACUUGAUUGUUGCCUAUGCAGAGAGCCAGACAUGAUAUUCAAAAGUAAAGAAGCAUUUCAUUAAAUGCUUUUCAGGAAGAUCAGUCACAUGGACAGGACACUGCCAAGUUCCUUCUAUCCCAUACACCAUUUCCCAGACUCACUGAAGAGCAAGCAAAAGGUCCCACAUUUUGUCCACUAAUGAUGCCACUUUCUAAUAACCCAAGGCUAACCCAAACUAUCACUAUCUAUUGACUUAAAAGCAAAUUUAAUUCCAGAUGUAGCCUUUGCCACCUUGUAAUCUGAGAACAAAAUGUGAAAUCAAAAGGAAAACUCAUAGGCAAAAAAUGAACAAGCUAAAAAUCAGAUGAAGAAAUACCAACCUAAAAAAAUAAGGACAUAGAAAAAGCCAUCAGACUAUCCUGCUGUCCUCAAAGUUUGAGCUGAUGGUUUGCUCAUGAUCCCAUAACCAAACAAAUUCCAAUGUAUAAGCGUGAAAGCACAUAGGUAACUUCACAAGGGCAUUUUCUUAUAUUAACUUUGUUCUAGUCUUCUGGUUUUUCUCUUCCUUCUCCUGUAUGCUCCAGAAAUGUCAUUCCUUAAUUGUUACCUUGACUUACCACACUUUGGGAGCUCACCCUCCAAUCCACUAUUGUCCAGGACACAUUUUCCCAAGAAGCAGGAGUUCAAACAGUCCAUAAAUUGAUUGCCAUCUUCUCAGGCUUCUCCCUAUCCUUGAGAGCAUUUCUUCUCAUCCCAGAGAAGUGAUGAGUUUAAUAAUCUACCGUAAGAUAAUCAGCCCUUCUCCAAUCAAAAAGUUUCCUGCCUUUGUGGCUUGGCUGUACCCAAGCCAAACCAACACAUACCAAUACGAACACAUACCAAUGUCCCCAAUACCUAAAAGGAGCAAAAAGGUUCUCCAUUGGAGAGAGCUGCCAGUUUCAUUCAUAUCCUCUAGGCAAUUUCUCAGACCUGAACACACAACAGUAAGUGCCAACAUCUCUCAAGUCAUGAACCCCUUCCUGAAAGUAAAAUAUGAACCACAAGGUAAAUAUCCAUUCAUUUGAAAUCAAAUUCUAUUUCAAACUUAGCCCUUGCCACCUUCUAAUAUGAGAAUGAAAGGUAUAAUCAGAAUGAACAUUGCUAGGAAAGGAAGGAAGGAAGGGAGGGAAGAAGAAAGGAAGGGAGCAAGGAAAGAAGGAAGGAAGGAAGAGAGAGAAGGAGGAAGGAAGAGAGGGAAGGAGGGAGGGAGGGAGACAGGAAGGAAGGGAGCAAGGAAAGAAGGAAGGAAGGAAGGAAGCAAGGAAGGAAGGAAGGAAGGAACGAAGAAAGGAAGAAAGGGAGGGAGGGAGGAAAGGAAUCAGAAAGGAAGGUAGGAAAAAAGGAAAGAAGAAAGGAAGGAAGGGAAGAAAAAUGAAGGAGUGAAGGAAGAAAAAAGGAAGAAAAGACAAAGAAGCAAGCAAGAAAGAAAGAAUGAAAGAAAGAGGGAAUGAAGAAAGAAAAAAGAAGAAAGGAUGAAAUGAAGGAAAGAAAAGGAAGAAAUGAAAGGAAGGAAAGGAAGCUGGAAGCAAGGAAAAAGGAAUGGAAGCUAAAAGGGAAGGAAGGAGGGAAGAAAGGAAAGAAGGACUAAAGGAAGGAAAGAAAGAAGGAAGGAAGAAGAAAAGGAGGGACAGAGAAAGGAGAGGAGAAAGAAAGUGAGUAGAGGAAGGAAAGAUGGAAGGGAGGAAAAAUGGAAGGAAGAAUAUGUGGGAGGGAGAACAGGGAAAAGGAAGGAAUGAAAAAGAAGAAAGGAAGGAAAAAAUAAAAGGAAAGGAAGACAGAAGGAAGGAAGGGAAGAAAAAAGGAAGGAAGGACUGAAAUAAGUAAAAAAGGAAGGAAGGAAAGGAGAAAGGAAGGAAGAUAGGAAGGAAGGAAAGAAGGGAAGAAAAAUGAAGGACUAAAGGAAGGAAAAAAGAAAAGAAAGGAAGCAGGAAGGAAGGAGGAA